rnacentral:rRNA from 1 species
GCGGGAGAGAUGGCUAAACUAGAGACCGGGAGAGGCAAGUGGAAUUGCUGGUGUAGGGGUAAAAUCCGUUAAUAUCAGCAAGAACACCUAAUGUGAAGACAGCUUGCUAGAACGGUUCUGACGCUAAGGUACGAAAGCGUGGGGAGCGAAUGGGAUUAGAUACCCCAGUAGUCCACGCCGUAAACGAUGGAUGCUGAGCAUUGGAAGUAUCGACCCUUUCAGUGCUGUCUACCUAAGUUAACACCUUAAGCAUCCCGCCUGGGGAGUACGAGCGCAAGCUUAAAACUCAAAGGAAUAGACGGGGACCCGCACAAGCGGUGGAGCAUGUGGUUUAAUUCGACGGUAAGCGAGGAACCUCACCAAGGUUUGACAUCCGGCUGCAGACUCCUGGAAACAGGAGAGCCUUCGAGGGUGCCGGACAGAUGCUGCAUGGUUGUCGUCAGCUCGUGUCGUGAGAUGUACCGUUAAUUCGGGAAACGAGCGCAACCCCUAUCUUGUGUUUUAUAUGUCACAAGAAACUGCCCGCUUUAAGUGGGAGGAAGGCGGGGAUGACGUCAAAUCAGCAUGGUUCUUACACCUUGGGCGACACACGUGCUACAAUGGAAAGCACAAAGGGACGCCAAAUCGUAAGAUGGAGCAAAUCCUUUAAAACUUUUCUCAGUUCGGAUUGAGGUCUGCAACUCGACCUCAUGAAGCUGGAAUCGCUAGUAAACGUGGAUCAGCCACGCCACGUUGAAUACGUUCUCGGGUCUUGUACUCACCGCCCGUCACACCAAGAGAGCCGAUAAUACCCGAAGGCCCGCCAAAUCGGCGGGACGAAGGUAGGAUUGGUAAUAAGGGUGAAGUCGUAACAAGGCAUCCGUAGCGGAAGCUGUGGAUGGAUCACCUCCUUU